GUACACAAAAAUGCACAUGCUGUGAGCUCGAUGAGUAGGGCGGGACACGUGGUAUCCUGUCUGAAUAUGGGGGGACCAUCCUCCAAGGCUAAAUACUCCUGACUGACCGAUAGUGAACCAGUACCGUGAGGGAAAGGCGAAAAGAACCCCGGCGAGGGGAGUGAAAAAGAACCUGAAACCGUGUACGUACAAGCAGUGGGAGCACGCUUAGGCGUGUGACUGCGUACCUUUUGUAUAAUGGGUCAGCGACUUAUAUUCUGUAGCAAGGUUAACCGAAUAGGGGAGCCGAAGGGAAACCGAGUCUUAACUGGGCGUUAAGUUGCAGGGUAUAGACCCGAAACCCGGUGAUCUAGCCAUGGGCAGGUUGAAGGUUGGGUAACACUAACUGGAGGACCGAACCGACUAAUGUUGAAAAAUUAGCGGAUGACUUGUGGCUGGGGGUGAAAGGCCAAUCAAACCGGGAGAUAGCUGGUUCUCCCCGAAAGCUAUUUAGGUAGCGCCUCGUGAAUUCAUCUCCGGGGGUAGAGCACUGUUUCGGCAAGGGGGUCAUCCCGACUUACCAACCCGAUGCAAACUGCGAAUACCGGAGAAUGUUAUCACGGGAGACACACGGCGGGUGCUAACGUCCGUCGUGAAGAGGGAAACAACCCAGACCGCCAGCUAAGGUCCCAAAGUCAUGGUUAAGUGGGAAACGAUGUGGGAAGGCCCAGACAGCCAGGAUGUUGGCUUAGAAGCAGCCAUCAUUUAAAGAAAGCGUAAUAGCUCACUGGUCGAGUCGGCCUGCGCGGAAGAUGUAACGGGGCUAAACCAUGCACCGAAGCUGCGGCAGCGACACUGUGUGUUGUUGGGUAGGGGAGCGUUCUGUAAGCCUGCGAAGGUGUGCUGUGAGGCAUGCUGGAGGUAUCAGAAGUGCGAAUGCUGACAUAAGUAACGAUAAAGCGGGUGAAAAGCCCGCUCGCCGGAAGACCAAGGGUUCCUGUCCAACGUUAAUCGGGGCAGGGUGAGUCGACCCCUAAGGCGAGGCCGAAAGGCGUAGUCGAUGGGAAACAGGUUAAUAUUCCUGUACUUGGUGUUACUGCGAAGGGGGGACGGAGAAGGCUAUGUUGGCCGGGCGACGGUUGUCCCGGUUUAAGCGUGUAGGCUGGUUUUCCAGGCAAAUCCGGAAAAUCAAGGCUGAGGCGUGAUGACGAGGCACUACGGUGCUGAAGCAACAAAUGCCCUGCUUCCAGGAAAAGCCUCUAAGCAUCAGGUAACAUCAAAUCGUACCCCAAACCGACACAGGUGGUCAGGUAGAGAAUACCAAGGCGCUUGAGAGAACUCGGGUGAAGGAACUAGGCAAAAUGGUGCCGUAACUUCGGGAGAAGGCACGCUGAUAUGUAGGUGAAGUCCCUCGCGGAUGGAGCUGAAAUCAGUCGAAGAUACCAGCUGGCUGCAACUGUUUAUUAAAAACACAGCACUGUGCAAACACGAAAGUGGACGUAUACGGUGUGACGCCUGCCCGGUGCCGGAAGGUUAAUUGAUGGGGUCAGCGCAAGCGAAGCUCUUGAUCGAAGCCCCGGUAAACGGCGGCCGUAACUAUAACGGUCCUAAGGUAGCGAAAUUCCUUGUCGGGUAAGUUCCGACCUGCACGAAUGGCGUAAUGAUGGCCAGGCUGUCUCCACCCGAGACUCAGUGAAAUUGAACUCGCUGUGAAGAUGCAGUGUACCCGCGGCAAGACGGAAAGACCCCGUGAACCUUUACUAUAGCUUGACACUGAACAUUGAGCCUUGAUGUGUAGGAUAGGUGGGAGGCUUUGAAGUGUGGACGCCAGUCUGCAUGGAGCCGACCUUGAAAUACCACCCUUUAAUGUUUGAUGUUCUAACGUUGACCCGUGAUCCGGGUUGCGGACAGUGUCUGGUGGGUAGUUUGACUGGGGCGGUCUCCUCCUAAAGAGUAACGGAGGAGCACGAAGGUUGGCUAAUCCUGGUCGGACAUCAGGAGGUUAGUGCAAUGGCAUAAGCCAGCUUGACUGCGAGCGUGACGGCGCGAGCAGGUGCGAAAGCAGGUCAUAGUGAUCCGGUGGUUCUGAAUGGAAGGGCCAUCGCUCAACGGAUAAAAGGUACUCCGGGGAUAACAGGCUGAUACCGCCCAAGAGUUCAUAUCGACGGCGGUGUUUGGCACCUCGAUGUCGGCUCAUCACAUCCUGGGGCUGAAGUAGGUCCCAAGGGUAUGGCUGUUCGCCAUUUAAAGUGGUACGCGAGCUGGGUUUAGAACGUCGUGAGACAGUUCGGUCCCUAUCUGCCGUGGGCGCUGGAGAACUGAGGGGGGCUGCUCCUAGUACGAGAGGACCGGAGUGGACGCAUCACUGGUGUUCGGGUUGUCAUGCCAAUGGCACUGCCCGGUAGCUAAAUGCGGAAGAGAUAAGUGCUGAAAGCAUCUAAGCACGAAACUUGCCCCGAGAUGAGUUCUCCCUGACUCCUUGAGAGUCCUGAAGGAACGUUGAAGACGACGACGUUGAUAGGCCGGGUGUGUAAGCGCAGCGAUGCGUUGAGCUAACCGGUACUAAUGAACCGUGAGG
rnacentral:rRNA from 1 species